rnacentral:tRNA from 1 species
GAUGGGAAGCCAGUAGGGGCUCAGUGAUAGAGAGUUUAAUCCCCCAU